UGGGGUGCUCGAGUGGCGAACGGGUGAGUAACACGUGAGUAACCUGCCCUUGACUUUGGGAUAACUUCAGGAAACUGGGGCUAAUACCGGAUAGGAGCUCCUGCUGCAUGGUGGGGGUUGGAAAGUUUCGGCGGUUGGGGAUGGACUCGCGGCUUAUCAGCUUGUUGGUGGGGUAGUGGCUUACCAAGGCUUUGACGGGUAGCCGGCCGGAGAGGGUGACCGGCCACAUUGGGACUGAGAUACGGCCCAG
rnacentral:rRNA from 1 species